GUGAAAGCCCCGAGCUUAACUUGGGAAUUGCAUCUGAAACUGGUUGGCUAGAGUCGUGUAGAGGGGGGUAGAAUUCCAUGUGUAGCGGUGAAAUGCGUAGAGAUGUGGAGGAAUACAGGUGGCGAAGGCGGCCCCCUGGACAAAGACUGACGCUCAGGUGCGAAAGCGUGGGGAGCAAACAGGAUUAGAUAACCUGGUAGUCCACUCUGUAAACGAUGUCGAUUUAGAGGUUGUGGUCUUGAACCGUGGCUUCUGGAGCUAA
rnacentral:rRNA from 1 species